UUCUCCCCAUUUUUUUCUUUCUUUAUUUCCUUUCCUUGUGUCGUUCUUAUCCAGAACUGCGCCCGCACGAGCGGCUCUUCGCCUCUUCUCCUCCGGUGCGCAUCGAUGCGCCGCUUUCCCAUCUUAACUCGCUAUGGCUCGGCAGCCGGCCUCAGUAUGUCCCCCACAAAUCCUCCACUGUAGCCCCGCCCUCCCUCUUCUUCUGGCCAGCCUACCGCCGCUCCUCCCCUCCCGGCGCGCCGCAACCUCCUGCGGCCCAGAUCCCAGUCGAACCAUCCAUCUUGUUUGCAGAGCAUCAUACCCGUUGUCUCUUUUGCUACCUUGGUGUGAUGCCGCUCGACCGUCGCCCUCUUGCUACUGUGUUGUGCCGCCAAUCAGCGCUCGCAGCGUUGAUAGAGGGGAACGCACGUGAGGCUUCUAUGACCAUGGUGUGUCCGACGUGCUCGCCCCCGACACAACACUGAGGCCUCUUUUGGCAGCCCAAUUUCCCAGGGAUCUCGGCCUUUUUCCUGAGCCAGCCUCUCCCGUGGCAGCCUUUUCUGGGCCAAAAUCAUGCACCCUUUGGCAGCCCACCAAGACUAGAAUUGCAGCCCGCUUCCCAGCGAUUUCCACGAGGAAGAAAUACGCGACCCAUUCGGCCGGCGUCUCCGCUCGCGGCUCGCGACGCUUCUUCCUCCGCUCACGACGCAACCGCCGCCACAGCAUCCGGCCGUCCUCGCCCCGGCAUCCGUGCAUCACCGCGACAUCCCUCCACCUCGCUAGCCUCUCUUGUGCUUCCGACGUCGACGCAGGGGUCAGCUCGGGCGCUCCUCCACCGCCGCCGUCUCGGUCCUCGUCCGCCGUCUUGUUCCUCGUUCGCCGUCGCCAUCUCCACCUCUACCGCCAUUGUCAUCCGUCUCGAAGGUUAGGGCACCUCAUCUCCUUUGUUGCAGUAGUUUUUGGAUCCACUAGGGUUUUCGUAGAUCUACGAGCCAACUGGUUCUUGCCGCCGGUGACUAGCUGGCGUGAGAACUUGGAGUAGCUGAGGCCGCUGCCCGUGAGAUUAACUUUUAAUCUGAUGCAGUCUCAAAAGAGCAGAGUUUUGGGAGCAAUGUCAUCCUUCAUCCUCUUUGUCUAUUCUGCCAAAUCCUUUGACCACUGCAUAUUCCCAAAGCCUGAUGACUCUAUGCCCUUGCGUAAUGACAUAUAUUAGUCUGCUAGUUUGCACCCAAGAGCUGGUGUUAUCGGGGCACCAUAUUCAGGAUACUCUGCUAGUCCACUUGAUUCUGUGUCUAACCAUGAUAGCCAGUCAAUGGUUGCACCCUAUAUUUUCUCAGUCAUCCAGUUUUGGAUCUUUCAAGUCUCUAUCUGAUACUACCCCAAGAACACACACUGAGGCAGCCUGGUUCAGAUCUUCUAUGGAUGUUUCACCACUCUACACAGAUAAUAUUGCUGCACCUGAUGAUAAUCAAAUCCAGAGUAUAUGUCCUGCUAUGACAUCUGAUGAGACUGCUAAACAAAAUGAUUGGUGGGCAGAUAUAAUGAAUGAUGAUUGGAAAGUUAUUCUAGCUAGACGCAACAGCUACUGAUUCACACUCAAAAUUCUAUCAGUGGAGGCAAUGUUGGUGGAGGCAAUAUUUGAAUUGAGAAGAAAAGGGCACCUGCAGUCAUUGUAUGCAGAGGUUUUGGUGGAACAAAUGCAUAUUUGAGACAAGUGAAGUGUGGUCAAAUUUUAUAAUGAUAGCUGAUAUUUCUGGCUUCUAUGUAGUUGUGCAAAGACUUGAUUUCAGUUUGAAACGCCUAUAUAUUUUUAUGUAAACAUACUUAUUAUUGAGAUUUUUCUAUCACUAUGAGAUGCUAGCAUUGAUAUGUAAUGACUUUGUUUGUUUUUUGAAUUUUCUUAUU